ACGUAGGUGGCAAGCGUUAUCCGGAAUGAUUGGGCGUAAAGGGUGCGUAGGUGGUGCAUUAAGUCUGAAGUAAAAGCCAGCAGCUCAACUGCUGUAAGCUUUGGAAACUGGUGUACUAGAGUGCAGGAGAGGGCGAUGGAAUUCCAUGUGUAGCGGUAAAAUGCGUAGAUAUAUGGAGGAACACCAGUGGCGAAGGCGGUCGCCUGGCCUGUAACUGACACUGAGGCACGAAAGCGUGGGGAGCAAAUAG
rnacentral:rRNA from 1 species